UUAUGGUAUGGAUUUCUAUGUUGUUCUGGAGCGCCCUGGAUAUCGUGUUGGACGUCGUCGUAGGUGCAAGUCUCGUGUUGGAAUCCAGCACCGGGUCACCAAGGAUGAUGCGAUGAAGUGGUUCCAGGUCAAGUACGAGGGUGUCAUCCUCAACAAGUCCCAAAAUAUCACCUCUUAGGCUCUCCUGCCCUUUGUCCUCUCUUUCAUCUUGAAGUUGUUCAAUCUGUUUUAUUAGCAGUGUCAGGAUAUCUUUUUUCCGCGAGAAUUUUUGUUAUGACCUGAGUUUUGAUUUGAAGUAUUCUGAGUUUAUGGUAGUUCUGGGUUUAUGAAAAGUUACUUUUGUAAGGAUAAUGUUGUCUCGUAAGCUGCUUGUUGAAUGCAAGAUUUAGUCUCAUUCUGG
rnacentral:misc_RNA from 1 species